CUGGUAGUGGGGGAUAACGUUCGGAAACGGACGCUAAUACCGCGUACGUCCUACGGGAGAAAGCAGGGGACCUUCGGGCCUUGCGCUAUCAGAUGAGCCUAGGUCGGAUUAGCUAGUUGGUGAGGUAAUGGCUCACCAAGGCGACGAUCCGUAACUGGUCUGAGAGGAUGAUCAGUCACACUGGAACUGAGACACGGUCCAGACUCCUACGGGAGGCAGCAGUGGGGAAUAUUGGACAAUGGGCGAAAGCCUGAU
rnacentral:rRNA from 1 species